UGGGGAAUAUUGGACAAUGGGCGAAAGCCUGAUCCAGCCAUGCCGCGUGUGUGAAGAAGGUCUUCGGAUUGUAAAGCACUUUAAGUUGGGAGGAAGGGCAGUUACCUAAUACGUGAUUGUUUUGACGUUACCGACAGAAUAAGCACCGGCUAACUCUGUGCCAGCAGCCGCGGUAAUACAGAGGGUGCAAGCGUUAAUCGGAAUUACUGGGCGUAAAGCGCGCGUAGGUGGUUAGUUAAGUUGGAUGUGAAAUCCCCGGGCUCAACCUGGGAACUGCAUUCAAAACUGACUGACUAGAGUAUGGUAGAGGGUGGUGGAAUUCCCUGUGUAGCGGUGAAAUGCGUAGAUAUAGGAAGGAACACCAGUGGCGAAGGCGACCACCUGGACUGGUACUGACACUGAGGUGCGAAAGCGUGGGGAGCAAACAGGAUUAGAUACCCAUGUAGUCCCUGAGCGGGCUGGCAAGGCGCAU
rnacentral:rRNA from 1 species